AUUGAACGCUGGCGGCAGGCUUAACACAUGCAAGUCGAACGAGUGGCGGACGGGUGAGUACUGUCUGGGAACCUGCCUGAUGGCGGGGGAUAACUACUGGAAACGGUAGCUAAUCACGCAUACUAUGAGAUGUGCCCAGAUGGGAUUAGCUUGUUGGGGGGGUAAAGGCUCACCAAGGCGACGAUCCGUAGCUGGUUUGAGAGGAUGACCGGCCACACUGGAACGUAGACACGGCCCAGACUCCGACGGGAGGCAGCAGUGGGGAAUAUUGGACAAUGGGCGCAAGCCUGAUGCAGCCAUGCCGCGUGUAUGAAGAAGGCCUUCGGGUUGUAAAGUACUUUCGGCGGUGAGGCGUUACCCGCAGAAUAAGCACCGGCUAACUCCGUGCCAGCAGCCGCGGUAAUUC
rnacentral:rRNA from 1 species